rnacentral:rRNA from 1 species
UCUUGACCUCGGAUCAGGUAGGGAUACCCGCUGAACUUAAGCAUAUCAAUAAAGCGGAGGAA